UGCGGGUCGGCCGCCCCAGCCGGAGCGCCAGAGAAGGCCCUCGCGGCCGGCCAGAUCCGAUUCGCGGCGGCAAAGCAUCUGUGGUUUGCACGGAGAAGGUGAGGAAUGGAUGAGAUGAAGCAGAAUAGAUCGUGGAUACCUCCCCGCGCGGCCCCUGGUUAGUCUCCUUCCCUUCUCCUCCCCCUCCCUCCCUCUCCCCGGCCAGGUGGUCGGGCUCCCCUCCGGCGUCCGCCAUCUUAGUUAGCGGUAGCUGCUGCCGGCGCGUGGGUGGGGUGGUGUGGUUGGAGUCGGAGGGGGCGAGGCGAGAAGCACGAGGUUGGGGAGGGGAGGGACUGGGAGGGGGCGAGGCGAGAAGCAGCGGGCGCGUGACGGGGCGGCGUCGGCAGCGCACGAGCACGCGAGAACGGCGUCGGCACGACGGGGAGCUCUGCACCUAACCCUAGGUCGCCAGCCCCCCUUGGGCCAUGGGGACGAGCGGGAGAGGGAGGGAGGGGGGAGGAGAAGGGAAGGAGACUAACCCAGGGGCCGCGCGGGGAGGUACCCGACGCCGUGGAGGAGCGCGUCCGACGAGGCUCGCCGCCGACGAAGCGGCCGCCGCUGGGAGGGAGAGCAGGAGAAGGGGAGGGAUACGGGGGAGAGCAAGCUCGACUUGGUCGAUACGGGCACACGGGCCGCGCGGGGACUGGUAUCGGGAUUUUAGCGAGGGUGAUAGCAA
rnacentral:lncRNA from 1 species